UGGCGGCAGCUUACACAUGCAGUCGAGCGGGGAAAGGUAGCUUGCUACCUGACCUAGCGGCGGACGGGUGAGUAAUGCUUAGGAAUCUGCCUAUUAGUGGGGGACAACAUUCCGAAAGGAAUGCUAAUACCGCAUACGCCCUACGGGGGAAAGCAGGGGAUCUUCGGACCUUGCGCUAAUAGAUGAGCCUAAGUCAGAUUAGCUAGUUGGUGGGGUAAAGGCCUACCAAGGCGACGAUCUGUAGCGGGUCUGAGAGGAUGAUCCGCCACACUGGGACUGAGACACGGCCCAGACUCCUACGGGAGGCAGCAGUGGGGAAUAUUGGACAAUGGGCGAAAGCCUGAUCCAGCCAUGCCGCGUGUGUGAAGAAGGCCUUUUGGUUGUAAAGCACUUUAAGCGAGGAGGAGGCUACCGAGAUUAAUACUCUUGGAUAGUGGACGUUACUCGCAGAAUAAGCACCGGCUAACUCUGUGCCAGCAGCCGCGGUAAUACAGAGGGUGCGAGCGUUAAUCGGAUUUACUGGGCGUAAAGCGUGCGUAGGCGGCUUUUUAAGUCGGAUGUGAAAUCCCUGAGCUUAACUUAGGAAUUGCAUUCGAUACUGGGAAGCUAGAGUAUGGGAGAGGAUGGUAGAAUUCCUGGUGUAGCGGUGAAAUGCGUAGAGAUCUGGAGGAAUACCGAUGGCGAAGGCAGCCAUCUGGCCUAAUACUGACGCUGAGGUACGAAAGCAUGGGGAGCAAACAGGAUUAGAUACCCUGGUAGUCCAUGCCGUAAACGAUGUCUACUAGGCGUUGGGGCCUUUGAGGCUUUAGUGGCGCAGCUAACGCGAUAAGUAGACCGCCUGGGGAGUACGGUCGCAAGACUAAAACUCAAAUGAAUUGACGGGGGCCCGCACAAGCGGUGGAGCAUGUGGUUUAAUUCGAUGCAACGCGAAGAACCUUACCUGGU
rnacentral:rRNA from 1 species